UUUUUUUCUGAUUUUUAGUUAAGAUCAAGUAUAUUAUCUGUUUUUAUCAAUUUAAUAUUUGAUACGUGAGUCAAUGAUCUACACGAUAUUAAAUUAAUUAAUUUUUUAUGAAAGAGCCUACUACAAUAACUUGUUAUUGAAGCUAUCACGCGUCGCCAUGUGUUGCACUUAGGCUUGACACACCCAAA